GAGCUGAAAAAAUCAAUAUCCCUGAGCCUAAAAAGAUCAGAAUACAGCCAUACACUAUUACAAAAUGUCAAGAAAAGAAGAUAGGAGGUGAAGACUGAACCCAUUUGCCUUUGAGGGAGCAGGACACUUGGACAGCAUUCUCACUCUUUGUGGCCAAAUGAAUUCAUCUAUUUCUUAUAAUCUUCUUAAUGGUAAAAUAUCUGCAUGUGUAAAAAAUUAUUGUUUUAUAUAUUUACACACACACAUAUAUUCAAAUGAAUGCAUGUAGAUAUACGACUACACUAGUAUCUGUGGGAAAAAGAGAAAAAAAUCCUUUAUGAGAGAUGAAGUAUAAAAAAUCAGAAUGGAAUUCAGAGUUGCAAAGUGGAUGCUUUUUUAGAAGAUUGAACGGAAGAAAAUGAUCAGACUGAAAUUAGCUGGAUUGGAACAAUGCUUUCUAAAAAGUGACCUAUUCUGAGAUGGGAAGAUCAUACCCUUUCAAGAAGAGACAAUCAGCUUUUGUGUGUUAUGUCAUUGUAAAAGCCACUUAGAGAAACGCAGCCCAGCACUUGCUUUUGAGAGGAGAUGGUAAGACGACAAAACGAUGAACUUAAUGGACUAUCAGAUAUUUUUAAAUAGCAUUUUUCAUUUUAAAUGUGGAUCCAAAACCAAUGCUUAUAGAAUGAGGGCUGAAAGCUUUAGUUCAAACCAGCAAGGCCUUCUCCAGUAUCUGCACCGAAAGCUCUCUGACAAGAAUACACUUGAUUUUCAACCAGCAAGAGACUAGUUACUCCAUUUAGGGAAAUGACAUCCUGAUGACCUAAAAUUACCCUUGCAGUUUCUGCAGACUGUAGCUUCAGCAAUGUGUCUAUUCCGGGUUGCACAAAAAAAGAGUUUCGCUAUGGCUUUUGGAAAACCCUUCCUGGGGAGUAUCAUGCUUUUCCCAGCUUCUUUGCUAAAGGUGACAUGAAUGUCUAUCAACAUGGCACUUACCAGCCACCAGGGUUGGUAAUUCAUGCAUUCAGGAAGAGUUUGUGAAUGUUUACCAUGUGCCAGACUCUGUGUUAGAUGCUGGUUAUACAGACUAAAAAUAUAGUGUCUGUCCUCAACAGCUUAACACCCUUUGGGAAGGAGAGUCAAGUAAACAGACAAUUAGAAUACAGCAGAGCGAUGGCCAGCUAACUGGAUUCCUGAAAAUGUGUUUGACUUCAUCCUAUCCUCUCUUUUCUCAUUCAUUUCCUAACACUGCAGUCUGGCCCAGGCUCCUGCCUGAUACUGAUCUUCCAGGACUACACAACCUUCCAAUCCAAUGGCCAGUUUAACCUGCACCACACCCAUUUUCCAACAGUAUUUGUCACUUUGCAUCACCCACUAACUUUCUCAAUUAUCUCUUUUCUUGGUUCCCAGGACUGUGCAAUAUCUUGAAUUUUCUCCUUAUAAUUUUGAAAAAAACAAUUCUUUCUAAGUUUCCUCAUGUAGAGUCAUUUCCAUUAUUUAGCCCCUAAAUGUUAAGACUACAUAGAAUUUUGUUAGUUCUUUCGAUAUGUGCUUUCUUUAUAUAAUUUCAUCUCUUAGCCUCCCAAACAAAACAGAACCUCCAAAUCACUCCCAUAUAUAUUCCAUUGUCAGUUUUGUCCAUGAGAUUUUGGAAAUGCCUCCAAGCUUCCAUUCAAGAUGGUAAACGGAGCUUAUAUAUUUAACUACACCACAGUAAAUUUCCAUUUAUAUUCACAGUGUUAUGUAAAAACAUAUACAUUUUAAAAAACUGCAUCAGCGUUACCAAACAGGGAAGGAUGCCAUUCACAUAUUCAAUAUUGUGAGGGUGUUUUUCCAAGAUUUAUUAUAGGUCUUGGAUUACUAAAUUGAAAAAUUACUAGCCUAUGAUUCAAUGUAUGGGAAGGCAAUCCCCCAGAUCUCCAAAACACUCGUGGCAGAAUUGGAGAAAUGGGUAAGACCUGGGCAAUCAAGAGAGUCCAAAUCUCACAAUUUGAAUGACUUCAGCAUGGACACCAGGAAAAUCCUUGAGAGUCCCAGGCUUGGACUCUUACUCUGGGGCUCUUUGACCAUAGACAGUCUCACGAAUAAUGCCAAAUAAAAUGGGGACAUUUUCUCAACAAGCCACUGACAUUGGCCUGUCUACUCUGUUCUAUUUCCUGUACUUUUACAUUGCCAGAUAAAGAUACCAGUCCUUGUAAGUGAGGAGUAGGAAGGGAGCUAAAGUUACAGGCAUUCAUGCAGUAGGAAGGUUUGAUUCUUCUGACAUGGGUUUAUUUCUCUGUUUGUGGAUGUUUGUCACUUGCAUCUGUUGUAGCAGCCAGCGUUUAUCAGGGACUCAGUUAUUGUUUAUUGGGCAAUGCAAAUGUCCAUGUUGUGAGACUCUUACAGGAAGGCUUCCUCCAAAACCAGGCACACCAACAGGGCAAGCUCUGUGUGCCUCUGUCCACUCUCUGCUCCAAUUACAUUUCUAAAAGAUCAAACUUGACCCCAAUGCCCCACCCCUUCUCCUCCAGCUCCUGCUGCCUGCACUGAUGGACCCUACUGCCUGGUUGGCAUAUCACUUGGUUUACAGCAACUGGAAAGAGGAAUAUAAUGUAACAAACCUUGCUGCUAUUUACAAGAUAGUUGUUUCUUUGUUUUUACUCCCUCAAGUUGGUUGUAACACUGAAGUUAGCUGGGCUACUGCCUCAUAUCCCUAAUUGAAAUGACUUUGCUCAUUGCUGUGGUUUGAAUGUGUGUGCCAUGGUUUGAAUGUGUGUGCCACCACCCCCAAAUUAACAUGUUGAAGCCUAGUCACCAAUGCGAGGCUACUAGAAGGCAGGGCCUUUGGGAGGUGAUUAGAUAAUGAGGGUGGAACCUUCAUAAAUGGGAUUACGACCUUAUAAAAUAGGCCCAGAGAGCUGCCUUUUCCCUUUUAUCCUAUGGGGACACAGUAAGAGGACGCCAUCUAUAAAUCAGAAAGCAGAGUCUCACCAGAUACUGAAUUUGCCAGUGCCCUGAUCAUGGACCCUCCAGCCUUCAGAAUUGUGAGAAAUUUCUGUUGUUUAUAAGCUACUUAUAUAAGCUAUAUGGCAUUUUGUGGUAGCAGCCCAAAUGGACUAAGACACUUAUCAACAAACCCUCUUCAGUAAAGUCCUACUUUAAAUAGUGUGCACCCUAUGCCACGGUGUAUCAGUCAAUUAUUACCAUAAUCAUUUUGUGUGACAAAUAAUCUCAAGAUCUUAAUGGAUUACAAAAGUAACUACUUAUUUUCCUUGCUUCUGUGAGUCAGGUAUGGCUUUACUAGGGUAGGAUGGGCUUGGCUACAGGUCAGAUUAGCAUCGUUCCAAUCAUUUUUUCUUUUGCAGGCAACAGACACCUGAGCCAUGUACUCCUCCUGAUGGAUCGCAGGAGCAUAAGAUGGUAAGCCGAAACACAGAAUACAUCGCAAAGCCCAUCCUUGAAACUAGGACACUGUCCAUCAGCUACAAGUCCUAUGAUUGAGUCCAUCAAAGGUGAAGUAGAUGGAACUCCAUAUAGACAAAAAUAAAGGUGACAGCACUUCUCACAAAACUGGGACAACUAACUCUUUAUCCAACAUCUGCUGGCUAAAUAAAGACAUGACCUUCACCUUUUGGGAUUGUUAAUUUAAAAUGGUUCCAUAAGAGCAAUGCAAAGACAGAGAUAUUUGGCAGCACUGCAGCUGGUGAUUUAUAUGGCUCUUCACAAGGUGUUACUUUGGGGUAUCAAGGUAUGGAUGCUUAAAUCAGCUGCAGGAAGUAAGAAAGAAGAAAAAAGGAGUGAUAAAGAUUAAAAAAAAUCAACCUUGGUCCUUCCACCAAGACCCAUUAAUUUCCAUAUCGUCAUCUGCAUAAGAGGGAAGAUUCCUACAUGACCAGGUUACUGCAAGGAUGUGAAUUUUGAAUAUUAAAAUAUUAUAUACAAUUGG